UGGGCUAUAGCCAAGCGGUAAGGCAACGGACUUUGACUCCGUCACUCAUUGGUUCGAAUCCAGCUAGCCCAG
rnacentral:tRNA from 1 species